rnacentral:rRNA from 1 species
CAGUCGUGCUGGCGCGAAAUCAACCCUCUCGUCGGGAGACCCAUGUUGUGGCGAGCCUCAAAACCGCCACAGCAUGUGUCUCACGAUGAGGGGGAGCACUUUCGUGUCCGCUGGUUAACACCAAUUUCGAACGUCAUAAAAAGGCUGGAGGGAUGUGGCUCCUUCGGGAGUGUUAUAGCCUUUGGUAGAUGUGACGAUUGGGAUCGAGGAUUGCAACGAAUACCCUUUGGGCUAUCUGUCUGACCUCUG